AGAGUUUGAUCAUGGCUCAGAACGAACGCUGGCGGCGUGGCUAAGGCAUGCAAGUCGAACGGACAUAGCUUUUGGGUAACUGAGGGUUAUGUCAGUGGCGAACGGGUGAGUAAUGAAUGGGUAACGUUCCCCGGACUCAGGGAUAGCGGCGGGCCGCAAGGCCCUUUGCGAAAGUGUCGGUAAUACCUGAUGAUCCCGCGUGGUCGCAUGAUCGUGCGGGCAAAGCUCCGGUGGUCUGGGAUCGGCCCAUUUCCUAUCAGCUAGUUGGUGAGGUAACGGCUCACCAAGGCUGCGACGGGUACCGGGUGUGAGAGCAUGACCCGGCACAUCGGAACUGAGACACGGUCCGGACACCUACGGGUGGCUGCAGCAACGAAUAUUCCGCAAUGGGCGAAAGCCUGACGGAGCGACGCCGCGUGCAGGAUGAAGUCUUUCGGGAUGUAAACUGCUGUCGGGGGUCAGAAAUCACUGAUCAACCCCACAGGAAGCCAUGGCUAACUCUGUGCCAGCAGCCGCGGUAAUACAGAGAUGGCAAGCGUUGUUCGGAAUCACUGGGCUUAAAGCGCGUGUAGGCGGAGCGAUAGGCGCCUUGUGAAAUCCCUCGGCUCAACCGAGGAACUGCUUGGCGAACCGGCGCUCUUGAGGCAGGUAGAGGUCACUGGAACCAUAGGUGGAGCGGUGAAAUGCGUAGAGAUCUAUGGGAACGCCGGUGGCGAAAGCGAGUGACUGGGCCUGUUCUGACGCUGAGACGCGAAAGCGUGGGUAGCAAACAGGAUUAGAUACCCUGAUAGUCCACGCCGUAAACGAUGCGCACUAGGUAUGAGAGGUCUGACGCCGCUCGUGCCGAAACAAAAGCGUUAAGUGCGCCGCCUGGGGAGUACGGGCCGCAAGGCUAAAACUUAAAUGAAUUGACGG
rnacentral:rRNA from 1 species